UACGGAGGGUGCAAGCGUUGUUCGGAAUCACUGGGCGUAAAGGGCGUGUAGGCGGCUUGUUAAGUCUGAUGUGAAAUCCCCUCGCUCAACGAGGGAACUGCGUCGGAAACUGGCAAGCUUGAGUACCGGAGAGGAAGGUGGAAUUCCCGGUGUAGCGGUGAAAUUCGUAGAUAUUCGCAAGAACACCAGUGGCGAAGGCGGCUGACUGGUCCGGUUCUGACGCUGAGGCGCGAAAGCGUGGGGAGCAAACAGG
rnacentral:rRNA from 1 species